GGGCGGGAUCAGGCGUGUAGGGCGGAGUGCGACGGGCUGGGAGCGGAACGGCGGCGCGGCUUUGUGGGCGUUUCCUGACGGCGAGGGGCCAACGUCCCCCAUGAAGUCGUAACAAGGUGCCGAGGGCGGAACCUCCCGCUGAGGGGACAGGGAGACGAAGAAGGCCGGGCGAGGCGAUGGGUCCGGGACCUGGCAGUGUGGGGCGCGGCGGUGAUGAGGGAGGAACGUGGACGGAGCUAUGAAUCUGUCCCAAGCGGUCAGGUGGAAGGAAACCUCAGGAACCCCUGUCUGCAAGGGGAUAGCAGUAGCCCCCCCUUCGUGGGAAGAACCGCGUGUGUCAGCCUUGAGUACCAGUUCCCUGAUGUUAGGGAAGGUCCUGAGCCACGUGUCACAGGACCGCCAGGUGCUGUGGCCUUCUAAGGUGGCCCAGGGAUGCCCUCCUGCUGUUCAAGCCAUGUACAGCGCCCUUCCCCUGAACGGGGGUGCCCCUGCGGAUACCUCUAGCCAACCAAAGGAAAGGUGGCGUUCCUGGGACUCGGUUACAGAAGACUGAGGCUUCCAUCCUGUUGGCUCUCUUUCCUCUGGGCUUGCACACGUUCGUGAAGCCAGCUGCCAUGUGAGAGAGGCCCCCAUGGCCAGCAGUCAGAGAGAAAUGGAGUCUUCCCAUCCAGCAGCCCCCAAAGAACGGAAUCCUGCCAACACCACGUGAGCUGGGAAGUGGAUUUUGCCCCAUAGAGCUUUCAGGACACCAGGCAAUUGGCUCAGGACCUACCCACGAGACCUCAUUUUACCAUCUCCAAGUACAGCCACGUUCUGGAGUGUCAGGUGAGCUUUCAGCACAAACUGCAAUAGGACGCUUUCCUGACCCUCAGUGCCAGGACCUCAGUUUUCAUCUGGACACUUUUCCGCUUAGUUAAAAUGCAUUGCCUGUCAUCCCUUUUAGUGGACAGUAGCCACACGACUGGAUACAUUCUAGCCAAUGAGCUGUAAGCAGAAGUGAUGAGUGUUGGUUCUAGAAAGUGUCCUGCUGCCUGAAGGUGGGGUAUCUUGGCUGGCACUUGAGCAGUGGGUUUGGGUCACGAGGAUGAACUCCACAUCCUGGGACAGUGGAGCUGCAAGGAGCCGGGCUCCAGAUGACCAGGUGAAGCCAGGCCAGCCUGACCUGCCCGUCUCAGGGAAAUCGGGGAGGAAUAUAAUUCUAUUUUGUUUAAAACACUGUUGCUUUGGGUUAUUCUGUUUGUGUGCUCCAGAGAGGUCGGGUCACUGAGACCUCCUGUCACCACAACAGAUCAUGGCUCUUUCAGCCAUGGCAGAGAGUCACCUAGAACUUAUUGUGAUCCUGACAAGAAGUCUUGUAAGAAAGCCUUAGAAAAAGGAACAGUCAAGAAGGCAGAUUUUUUAAGCACAGAGAGAAGCUUGGCAUUGUCCAGAAAACAGCAGAGAGAGACUGGCACAGCUCGGUGGACAAGCUGGCACAGCAUCUCCAGAGCCUUGGCGGCGGGCACACUCCCCAUGUAGCAGAGACCCUUCUCGUCGUUUACUCUCAGAGAGCAACUGCGUGUGUGUGAGGAUGGUCCCUACACAGCAGCAUUGAGCACAAAAAAGUGGGAACACCACCAAUGCUGGGUGGUCAUUUUGGGAAGAUCGCUCGUGGCACAGGAGGACGCUCCCUGCGCGUUAGCAGGGUGUGCGGCAGUGCGGAGCAGGACUGCCUCUCUCUGCAGACACAGGAAAACAGCGUACACAGAAGAGGGGCCUGGUUACCAGAUUCGGAACUGGCUCUCUGUGGGCAGGGCUACUAGCCCCAUCGGAGCACAGCAGGCACACAGCCGGUACUGACCAAGGCACAUCAGCCACAGCUCGGACGGGAUGUUACCAAACGAGGAGGCACCGACUGAAGCCAGUCAGCUCCAAGCAGACUCCAGCAGCUCCCCGAUGACCUCUGAGAACAGAAGCCCCUGCAGAGCAGUCACGCGCUCCGGCUGCGCUCCGGCCACCCUGCAGCACCAACGCUCUCUCUCCGGGCGGCCACCCUUCCCCCGCCCUGCACAGCCUGGACGCCCCACACCGAACCCUGCAGGCGCCACCUCCCUGUCCGGCUGGAUCUGGCUCCUCACCCACCUGUGACUGUCCCUCUCCGAAACGUCUUCGGAGCCCUGGCUGGUUUUCCUCCACCAUCCUCACAGUCUCUUCCCAGCACGACCCCCUCCGAACCCUGCCUUCCCGGGGCCCCACCGACCCCUCUCCACUCCCCCCAGUGCCUGGCAGUCCACACCCCAUCCUGCCGCAGAACAAGCCCCAGGGAAUGGGGUCCUGGCUGGCCCUGCUCACUGCUGGAUCCCCCGUGCCCAAGACAGCCCCACAGGCGAUGCUCACAAACGCUCACACAUGGAAACGAGUGAAGAAAUGUGCACAGAGCACCUGAGUCCCGGCAGAAGUGACGAAGAGGGCUCCUUCCACCCCGUGCCUGUGCAGUCAUGGACCCCGAGCGAACGAAAGGACUCCCGUGCAGCCCGGGGGCAUGUGGGGGCCUGACUGCACCUCAGGAGGCGCAUCUCCCUGCCGUGGCACACAGCCUUGCCGGGCCCCUGACCCUGGAACACAGGCAAGCCUGCGGCAGGCCGGUCAGGGUGAUGACAGGACAGUCCCUGGCAGCUAAAGUGAGGAAGAGAAACACGGGCGAGAGCAAGAACUCACUGCUCCGCAGACCCCGCUUUGCAUCAGUUUCAGGGAAGCCGGUGGGGCACUGGGCCCAGUUGCACUCCGACAAGAGGGUGCGGCCUCAGUGCCGCCCCUCCUCCCCACCCAGCAGUACCCCCAAGGCAGACAAGCUGCGAACUCCACUCGGCGCUUUGCUCUGCCUCAUCAGAAACCCACUUAUCCUUCUCCCGGGUGGCGUCCAGACUGUCCCUGCAGCCCUGUCUACCCUGAGAGGGAGCCUCACUGGCAUGGGAAUCAGGACGCCGUGGGCAGGGCCGCUGGUGGCCUCUCCCAAGUCCCUGAGACACUCCACCCCCACCCCGCCCCAGAGCCUGACCCACCAUCCUGCAGACGGACUUGGCGUCCUCCGAAAACUUCUCGGAGUACUCCUCGGUGUCCGUCUUCACGCGCCGCUCCACCUCCUCCCGCUGGACCUUCUCUUUGAAUUUUCUGAACGGAGAGUGUCCCUGAAUCAUUUCAUACAUCAGACAGCCAAGUCCCCACCAGUCAGGACUAAAUGCGUAGUUUUCAUUAUUGAUAACUUCAGGAGCUACGCAACAAAUACAGGAAAUUUAAGUUAAAAUUUAGUUUUCAACUUUCUUGUCAUCAAUUCCAAUCAACACACUACGGUUUCAGUGUUUGUCGUAACUGGAUGAGCCCAGAAACUACGGCCCAGGAAGACCGGCUUGCCGUGGCAGCAGGCACCUUGGCGCUCGGACGGGCUCACGGUGCCGCCUCCACCCAGAAGCCCAGGGCCCUCUGAGAAGCGCCUGCCCCAGGCCUCAGCACGUGUGCCAGGCAGCCCGCACAGCACCGCAGCAGUGAGCAGGGACGGUCUCAGAGUCUGCCAGACACCCACUGGCCAGGGACGGGGCACUCUGAACACCUGAAAGAGUGACUUCAGAGGGCUGAGACACAUCGAGGUGCUCAAGUCCAGCAGCUCAGAGACAGCAAAACAGAAAAGCAAACGCUCUCGGUCACCUUGGAGAAAGACGGAGAACUAGCGUGGUAUUCCGAGAAGUGAAAAGAAAGGGAGGUGGUAUUCAAGAACCUCACCAGAUUUUCCUGAAACACAAGUGAACGAGUGCUGAUGAAGCAAAGUUCCUUUUCCCAGAUGAAUCCCAACAAGUGAGCAGGAAGGGAACGAGAGGAGCAGCGUGUCCUUGCACACCCAGUGGCUCUCCACACUGACCAUCGGGCCGUUCACUGAGCGGCUGGCGGGGACUGCCUGGGGACAGACCAGCAGACCACACCCUGGGUCAGCCUGAACACCACGGAGAGAGAGACCCUGGCCGGGUGGCUCUGUGGGUUGGAGUGCUGUCCCCACGCACCAAAGGUUGCAGGUUCCAUCCCCAGUCGGGCACAUGUGAGAGGCGACCCACUGAUGUUUCUCUCACGGUGGUGUUUUCUCUCUCUUCCUUUCUCUCUCUCAACUCAAUAAACAUAUCCUUUGGUGAGGAUUAAAAAAAUAUUUUUUGCCCUGGCUGGUGUGGUUCAGUGGAUUGAGUGCCGGCCUGCGAACCGAAGGGUCACCGCUUUGAUUCCCGGUCAGGGCACACGCCUGGGUCCAGGCCAGGCCCCACCCCGCACCCCCAAGGGGCACUUGAGAGGCAACCAAUCAGUGCUUCUCCUGUGCACUGUUGUUUCUCUCCCUCUUUUUCUCCCUCCUUUCUCCUCUCUCUAAAAUAAAUAAAAU